CCUCCGCCUGUCCAGAAGUCUCCAGGCUUGGGGCCCUGAUUGCCAGCUGCUGACACUUGGUCUCCCAGCAGCUGCCCCUUGAGGGGAGCGAAGCAAGUCAAGUUCUCCAGCAAACCCCAUCCGCCCCUCCCUUCUCCCCUCCAGACCAGUGUGGGAUCGGCAGCGCCUCCCCCCGUAGCCCCUCCCUCCAGCCAUCCCGGUGCUGCCCACCCACCACACCGCUAGCGCCUCUGAACCUCGCCAGGCACGUCCGGUUCUGCGGCCCCCACUCCGCCCCCGCCUGCCAGGAGCCGCGCAGUUACAAAGUGCCGGGAGCCGUGCAAGGCCAGUGAACCCCUCGCUGAGACUCAGUUUGCUGCCAUCACAAGUGCUCCGAGAAUCCUGGAGAGGGAGGAUAUAUUGGAGACAAACGGGACUGCUGCCCGCCUUUUAGGUGACCGUCGGAGGCUGCUCUGAGCCGGGCACAGGCAGGGUAGGUGGAAACCCCGCAGCAGUCCCAAGUUUUGGGGUUUUCGGGGGAAACCCAUGAAGUUACCCCUCCAUGGAAGAGGUGGUCUGCACCCGUUCUUUUCCCCAAGCCGGGGGAAGAGGCAGCCUUAGUACAGGCCGGGCUUGCCCCCUCACCGGGGCUGUCUGUGCAGCUGUCACCCUCCUUCCUCCUGGACCUGCCAGGAAAAUGUCAGCCCCGCGAGGGAAAUGGCAAAGGGAAGAUGACAGCAGACAAGAGAGAAACAACAGCCCCACCUGACACAGCCAGGACCCUGCGGACAGGCGGCAGGAGCCCCCACUUCCUCGGGACUCAGCCUCUGCACCCCAGGACUGCCCAUGGCCCCUCUGAGGGCUCUCCUCACUCCUUCCUCCCUCGUUAGGGAAGAGGCCAGUACCCAGCAGCCAUGGCCCAAGCGCAGGUGGUCUGUUCUGUGCACCCAGCAUCCCCCUAGGGUCUAAACCAGGUAUGGGGCUGAAAUGGGAGAGGCAGAGAAGGUUGGCAGAGAGGCCUGGGGUGACGGAGGAGGAGUGGGCUGCUGGGCUCUGUUCCGGGCAUGCUUUGGUGUCUCUCUCUCAAGAACCCAGAUCCUAUUAUGAGGACACGGAAGCCCAGAGGGUUCAAGUGACAGCCCCAAGGUCACAGGCAUGGGCGAGCUGGGCUAGUGGCUCCCGUGUGUUGGAGCAUGAGGCUCUGGCAGCAUUGAUGCCACCUUUGCCCCCACACCCAUCCUCAGGGUUAGUGCCCAAGUUGGGGGUGAAACCUGGCCAGCUUCAGUCCACUGACUUUUCGGCAUCCCUUCCUGAGGCUUAGAAACUUCUUUGUCUUUUGGAAAACAAACUCUUUCUGUGCAAGAAACUCCACUCAAUUCUUGGGCAGUGUGACCCCAGUCUUUUUAGUCAGAAGUGUCACUUUCUCUGCUACCCACCAAAGAGGGGGUGUGGCCAGCCGAACAGUCCCCAAACCAGGGGUGGUACCCCCUGCGCCUCAAUAAGAAAAUGAGUGUGGCCAGGAGGGGAACUGGAUGCGAGUGAGAAAUCACCCAUCUGUGAGAAGAGAGGCCUCAUCACCGGGGGGAGAGGGCAGGGUCAGCUUCAGUAGUGACCGGGAAAGAGAGAGAGUCCUGUGGCUGUGUGACAUCAGACAAAGUGACCCAGGGACAGCUGCACAGGUGUCAGUUGCUUUGGUCUUAGAAAGAACCAGAAGAAAGCUAUGCUUCAAAGAGAACCGGGUCCGCUCUAAUCCCAAGCCUUUCUUCUAGCCCAGGUCCUGAUACAGCACCCACCUACCACCAACAUCCAGGGCUCCUUGCCAUCCCUACCAGCACAUGCUUCUGCUGCCCAACUCCCUCGACUCUUUCCUACCCAUCCAGGGUCCCUGGCCUCUGCUCAGGCACAGAGAAUGCCCCCAUUCCUCAAAUGCAUGUCAGUGUGUGUGCACGUGUACAUGACGGGGCACGUGUGGUCACUUAGAGAUGUGCACAUUCCUUAACCCAUUGAAAGUCACGGCAUGGGUUGUGGACUCGCAGGAGAGCUGUGAAUUCAUGGCAAAGGGGGAGACGGGGUGGAGCUACCAGGGUGAAAGUGGCAACGGGCCACAAAGCCCUUUGCUGGGAUUUUUGGCUCAGACAAACUCAGGGAAGGCUACUCUGUGGGGCCUGCCAGUCCUGGGACCCCCCCACUGUACCUCAAGCCCACCUGGGUCACAGCACUGAUGGCUGGCUAGUGUUCCUUGGUCCCAUGUAUCCUGCCCUGUGACCCCGAGCUCAUUUGCCUAAGAUGCAUUGAGGAUUACCAAUCCCGGUGCCCUCCAAUUCUCCCUCUCCGCUCCUCCCAGGCGCCCGGCUCUGUGCCAAGCCCAGGUCAUGUUCCCAGCUUUGAACACAACUCUGUGGCCCUGACUUGAAUUUCUACCUCUGUAUCCUCCCAUCAAGUCUGUGGCCCACCCCUCUCCCUUACAGCUCCCACAGCUCAGAAGUCAGCGGAGCAGAGUCCCCAGGAAACCAGGGUCAGGGAUGGAGGCUGCUGAGGAGCGGGUCUGGGUGAGGACCAGCUUGUGACCUGUAGCUCCGGGGACCAGAGUGUGAACGAUUUUGGCAUAGAUGCUGCUCUGAGCUUCCUAAGAGCAAAAACGGGCUGUUGCUGUUUGUGGUUCUUGUUCUGUUUGGGGGAUGCCAUCACGUGCUGGGGGCGUAUCAGGAGGGCACAGCCCCAGAGCCAGCAGUGUGUGGGGGGCUGGACCAUCAGGGCAGGUCCCCGGGCCAGGGUGAGGUCCGGGCUGCAGGUGCACGGCGACCUCAGGAUUGGUGGGGGUCCUCCCCAACCAUGGAUCAUUGAGGGGGAGCCCCAGUUUAACGUGAACCUAACAGGCAUUUUACUCUCAUCCUGCCUAGGAGGUGGAGGCCAGAUACAAGUAAACCACAGUACCAGUAAAUGACAAAGGCUGGAUCUUAACCCAAGUCCUCCGACUCUGAAGGCCAUACCCAACAGGUCCCAUUUUAUUUGUUUUACUUUUUUUAAAUUGAAGAAGAAAAAAACUAGCAUUCCCCUACAGUGCCCCCCACCUGGUGGGGACAUCUUGGGUUGGCAAGGCCACCACUUUCAAGAGUAGAAGUGUUUUUCAGCAGGAGGAGUUGGCUGCACCAAAGGAGCUCAGGAGAAGCUGGAGUCUCAGGCCCAGCAGGAACGGCCAGAGGUUUUGCAGCUCUGCCCAGCGGCUGGGCUCGCCCAAGGGUCUCCCUGGGGGUUCCCAGCAUGAGCCGAAGCCACCCUCCCCUGUGGGAUCUGUGAGGCCAGGCAUUGGGCCUCUUUAGGCCUCAGUUUCCUCCCCUGUCAUAGGCAACUGACAGUCCCUCUGGAGCGCCACUGGGGCUGCAGAGGGAGGCCGGAGAGAUGGUGCCCCCCCUCCUCCCCGCCACCCCCACACACAGCCCUCAGCAGGAUGGUGGCUGCCUGGCCGAUUGCUUUUGCAUUUGCAGCAGAGCGGGGGAGUGAGGCCAAGCUGAGUGCCCCCUCCCCCUGCCCAGCCAGCUCAGACCCAGGCGGUGGAGCAGGAAGGCUCUGGGGAAAACAGUGUGAGUCACCGGGCGGCCAGAGUGCGUCCUUCCCUGCUAGCGCACUACACGGCAGGUUUCAUAGCUUGACAGCAAAGUGUUUGAAAACGAAGAGCAGGAAUUCCGCGGUUCCUGCCCGGCCUCGCCAUCCAGCUGGGAGAAGAGCACGGUCAUUUCCUUCACUUAGUCCACGGCCGCUGGGCGCUCAUCCCCAGCACAGCCCUCCCCAUGCCGCGGCAAAGACUGUUGCUGUCCUGCUGAGGGAUGUGCCCCCGGGGAUUCGAUCGAGAUUCUGUAAGAUGUGGGGGAUGUGGCGGGGGUGGGGGGGCUUCUCCACAUCCCCAGGGCUCUCCUUCUUCCCCAGUGAGGUGGGAGAAGCCGCAGAUUGGGGUCUGCUGAGGAGCGGGCCUACGUGAGGCCCAGGUCGUGACCCACGGCUCCGGGGACCACAAGGUAAACAGUUUCGGCACAGGGUGCACCCACUAGGUCAUAGGUGGAUUCAGCCUUCUCUGAGAACCGAGAAGAUUCUGGAGUCUUUUGAAGCAGGAAAGGAGAUCAGAGGAGGAGAUGGUGGCAAAGCGGGGACUGAGACUCUUGAAAUGUGUUUAUCCCAGGCAGAGCAGCCGCUGAAAGGGGAGAUGGAGAGAGAAUGUCAAAAGCAGCACUGGGUGUUUUCCUGGGGUCUCUCCACAGUGCCCUGUCAUUUCCGAAUCACCAGGCCCGCUGGCACAGGGGUCUGCAGCCCAACCUCACAGAAUGACCCCCUCUCUGCAGGCGGGCAUCACCCUGACAGCCCCCUCCCAGGACAGAAAACCUAUAGACACCUGGCUGCUGGGUGUCAGGCCACCCACCCGUUUCUCUUCCUUUCCUUCCAGCCUUUCCUCUCCCAACCAGCCCCCUCCCCACCCGGUCCCCCUUCUAUUUUUCCUGGCUAAAACCAGCCACAGAUACCACCACACCCGGAAAGAGAUAAAUAAAUAAAAGAAAAACAACCUCAACUGUGAAAA